rnacentral:rRNA from 1 species
GACGAACGCUGGCGGCGUGCCUAAUACAUGCAAGUCGAACGAGUUGCGAACGGGUGAGUAACGCGUGGUAACCUGCCUCAUAGCGGGGGAUAACUAUUGGAAACGGUAGCUAGUACCGCAUCCCAUCGGAUGUGCCCAGAUGGGCUUAGCUAGUAGGUGGGGUAACGGCUUACCUAGGAGACGAUGCGUGGCUGGUCUGCGAGGAUGACCAGCUACACGGGAACUGAGACACGGACCAGACGCCUACGGGAGGCAGCAGGGGGGAAUAUUGGGCAAUGGGCGAAAGUCUGAUAGAGCCAUGCCGCGUGAAUGAAGAAGGCCUGCGGGUUUUAAAGUUCUGGCAGUGAGGAGGCGGUACUUGCAGAAGAAGCACCGGCUAACUCCGUGCCAGCAGCCGCGGUAAUUC